rnacentral:rRNA from 1 species
AAGGGCACCACAAGAACGCGUGGAGCAUGUGGCUUAAUUUGACUCAACCCGGGAAAUCUUACCAGGUCCAGACAUAUUGAGGAUUGACAGGCGAUAGUAUAUAAAAUAUAUUUUUAUAUGCAUAAAAAUGAUAGUCCUUUCAUGAUUAUAUGAUAGGUGGUGCAUGGCCGUUCUUAGUUCGUGGAGUGAUUUGUCUGCUUAAUUGCGUUUCAGUAAAUAAAAUAUAUAAUAUAUUAUAAUAUUUAGUUCUGCCAUUUAUUUAUGGAUUUAAAGUGAACAUAUUAUAUAUAUUAUUAUAUAAUAAAUGAAUGCAACGAACGUGACCGUAACCUUUUAUUGCUAUUGAAAAUUAUAAUUAUAGCAUAAAAUUAAAGGAACCGCUGUCAUUACUAAAUAUGUGUUAAAAUAGAGUAAGAUUAUGGCAAUAACAGGUCUGUGAUGCCCUCAGAUGUUCUGGGCUGCACACGUGCUACAAUAAUUACAUUAAUAAGUAUAUAUACUUUAUAAUAUAUAAUAUUAUAUUACAACCUAUUUCGAAAGUAAAUCGGUAAUCAUUUAAAAAUCGUGAUUAAUUAAUAUAAAUAUAAUUAAUUUAAGGUGGGGAUAGUGUAUUGUUAAUUAUUACACUUGGCCUUAACUAGGAAUGCCUUGUACUCUUCUUUGGUUUAACAUACCAAGAGGAAUACGUCCCUGCCCUUUGUACACACCGCCCGUCGCUCUUACCGAUGAAUUAUAUUAUAAAUCUAAGGGAUUUAUUAUAAUUAAAAUAUAAAAAACUUAUAUACAUAAUGUGAUUUAAAGGAAAGAGAAGUCGAACAAGGCA